AUUGAACGCUGGCGGCAGGCCUAACACAUGCAAGUCGAGCGGAUGAAGGGAGCUUGCUCCUGGAUUCAGCGGCGGACGGGUGAGUAAUGCCUAGGAAUCUGCCUGGUAGUGGGGGAUAACGUCCGGAAACGGGCGCUAAUACCGCAUACGUCCUGAGGGAGAAAGUGGGGGAUCUUCGGACCUCACGCUAUCAGAUGAGCCUAGGUCGGAUUAGCUAGUUGGUGGGGUAAAGGCCUACCAAGGCGACGAUCCGUAACUGGUCUGAGAGGAUGAUCAGUCACACUGGAACUGAGACACGGUCCAGACUCCUACGGGAGGCAGCAGUGGGGAAUAUUGGACAAUGGGCGAAAGCCAGAUCCAGCCAUGCCGCGUGUGUGAAGAAGGUCUUCGGAUUGUAAAGCACUUUAAGUUGGGAGGAAGGGCAGUAAGUUAAUACCUUGCUGUUUUGACGUUACCAACAGAAUAAGCACCGGCUAACUUCGUG
rnacentral:rRNA from 1 species